CUAGUAAUCGCAGAUCAGCAUGCUGUGGUGAAUACGUUCCCGGGCCUUGUACACACCGCCCGUCACACCAUGGGAGCCGGUAAUACCCGAAGUCAGUAGCCUAACCGCAAGGGAGGGCGCUGCCGAAGGUAGGAUUGGCGACUGGGGUGAAGUCGUAACAAGGUACC
rnacentral:rRNA from 1 species